GGUAAUUUUGGAUAUGCAUCUCUUCCCAAACCCAAUACACUUCUUUAACUCUACAAUCACUCCUCCCCCACGCCAACUGCCUUUGGCGCGCAGCCUCCCCCGCCCCACCACAUCGGAUUCGAGGAAGAAGCAGCACUAUAGCAGACCUCCAAGCUCUUGUUCGUGCUCUGAUUUCCUCCGAUCAAUACCAAGUCUUCGUCAGCGCACCAGAAAGCGAACAAUCUGCUGUUAGUCAUAGUUGAACAGUGCUAACUGUUAUGCAUCCAUGGCGGAAACUUUGACAGCUGCAAUUCAAACAGGAGAACAAC